UUAGCUAUAGGAUAGUAUAGGAAGGCUCAUUUCAAUAUACUAUAGAACUCAAUGUAUCAGUUGCUUCAUGUUAGUCUGUGUAGUUGAUCGUCUUUCUCUCUCUUUCGAUAAAAACGAUAUCUUUUCCCAAUUUUUGUGACCGCUUCACGUUAUUGAAAACAACUUAUCCAACAGCUGAUUCAAUCACGUUCGUUUUAAUUUGUAUUUACAUUUCCCAGGCAUUUCCUAAGCAUCGCUCUUGGAGGAUGAAAGUCACGAUCAAAAGUUGGACAGGCGUCGCCACCUGGCGUUGGAUCGCCAACGACGAUAAUUGCGGCAUAUGCAGGAUGCCGUUUGACGCCAGCUGUCCGGAUUGCAAGAUUCCAGGAGACGAUUGCCCGCUUGUCUGGGGGCAGUGCUCGCAUUGUUUCCACAUACACUGCAUCAUGAAGUGGCUGCACUCGCAGCAGACCAGCCACAUCUGCCCGAUGUGUCGCCAGGAGUGGAAGUUCAAGGAGUAACCGCCGACGCUUUCCGCACGGGCCCGCAGGUGUCAGCACGCAGCGAGCAAUCAGUAUACAAGAAAGGAUCGCGAUGUCUUCUUUGCAAGGAUUACCCCCGUUACCGAGGAGUCUGAGCGGUUUCAACCUGAGCGGACGCGGCGAGAGCGGCGAGCCACCUCCACCGCCCACGAGGUCGUCAAGUAAAUCCCAAAGAGGCGGUAAACCGUCGUCAUCGAGGCCAUCGCCACCUGCCAGAC
rnacentral:misc_RNA from 1 species